rnacentral:lncRNA from 10 species
GGGGGAGGGGCGGCCCCACGACAAUGACCGCAUUGAGGCUGCGCUUGGCCUCGCGCCUCUCCUCGAACAGCCCAGCGUCCUCUGGACCGUUUAAAAGAAAACAUAAAGAGGACUCUACCAUUAAGAUAGUCCUUACAAUUUCGCAAGCCCUUUCACGUGCAUUAUCUUGUGGAUCCUCUCAGUAAUCCCCUGCAAGAAGGAAUGAAAAGAUGAGUUCUUCCUAUGUUUCCCAGGCUGCUCUCCAACUCCUGGGCACAAGUGACCCUCCUGCCUUGGCCUCCUAAAUUGCUAGGAUUGCAGGCAUGAGCCACCGUGCCUGGCCUCCAUUCUAUUAUUAUUAAUUAUUUGUAAACUACUAAAUGGAAACCACAGUAAGGUUUUCCUCACUAAGUUACUCCUUUGAGGGCAGGGGCUACUAACACCCGCUUUGAAACACCAUCCUUCUGAGGUCCUCUGGGAUUUUUUCCUGAAUGGUGGCCCUUGUUGCCAUCUUAAAGAUCUAGUCAAGAUAAAACAUGUUCCUCUGGACAACCUGAAUGGAGGGAGCAGCUUCAUACCCGGGCCUGACAACCUUGCACAUAUCCACAUAGGCCACAUAGGCAAUGCCUGAACCACAGCUGAUCUGAGUCUUGGCAGAACACCUUGGGAUCUUCCCAGAAGAUGAGUGCAUGAGAGGCUUGUAAGCAGCUAGUGCAAGGCCAUUUCCCACUCAGCUCUCUGUCUUCCAAAGAGACUAUCAUGAGGCAGUUUCUAUUGCUUCCUGGGUUCCAACGAGCCAUUCUGCCUUACCCUCUUAGAGUACAGCUGCAGGUUAUAACAAGGCUUAGCUGCAGCAUGGCAUUAACCCCUCAGCAACAAGGUGUCCACAGUGUAUGCUGUAGUCAUCCAGCCCCUUCUGUUUUGGUGUCAUCAUUUUGGUAUCUGAGACAAAAGCUCAUGGAGAGCUGGCACUUGCUUUUGCUUUCAAUGUCUGUGCAAAUAAUAAUAUGUCUAAAUUCAAAAAGGGUUCAUUUCUUUACCAGCCAAAUCUUUCAACCUUGCCUUGAUACCAAACAUCUGAUUCAUUAAUUAAUGGUAAAACGAACAAAAUGACCAGACAGAUACUACCUGGGUACCAGAGAUAAUAGAGAUGAAUAAAAUGAAGUCAUGAUUCCGUCUUUGUUUUUCCCUUUAAAAGAGAUGAGAUCUCACUCUGUUGCCCAGGCUGGAGUGCAGUGGCAUAAUCACAGCUUGCUGCAGCCUGGAACUCCUGGUAGGGAUCCUCCCGCCUCAGCCUUCUAAAACGCUAGGAGUACAGUUGUGAGCCACCAUGUCCAGUUUGAUUCCUUCUUUUAACAUUACCAUCUUGUUAAGGAAAUAAACAACAACAACAGAAAAAAACAAGUAUUCACAAGGCAGUGUAGAAGUGCUACAGUAGAGAAAAGCAGAAGGCCUGUAAGGGCUCCUAAAUGAGAUAGUGUGCUAAGAGGGAAGGGAGGCACCCUGAAAUGGAGGAAGCCAGCCAGAAAAGUUUUCAGGCUGGGCAUAGUGGCCUGCACCUUUGGUCCCAGGUACUCAGGAGACUGAGGUGGGAGGAUUUCUUGAACCUGAGGGGUUGAGGAUGCAGUGAGCUCUGAUCGCAUCACUGUACUUAAGCCUUGUGGACAGAGUGAGAUCCUGAUCAAAAAAAAAAAAAAAGUGUUCACACUGGAAGGAAAGCAUAGACCUUCAGAUUUGGUGUUAUCAGAUUCCAUCCAAGACUGAUUUUUUUUCCAGGCUUUGGAGCUCUCAGUCCCCUUCAGCUCAAAAGUAUCUCCCUCUGGGCACUUUAAGUACAUUGCUUAAAGAUUCCAUUUUAGCUAGUAAGUAUACAGUAUGAGGAGUCUUUUGAUUGCAAGUGACUGAAAACCUAAUAGGCAAGCAUCGUUAGCUUCCCACACAAAGUGCUUUCCCUUGCUUCUAAUACACUCCUGAUUUUUUUGGAUGGAGAGGGGGAACAGUGUGCCCAGCUGUAAGCAAUAAAGUGUAAUUGAGCUAAGCUAUCCAUGACCAUUCUGCUUCCCUGUGCCAGACCCUCGCUUUGCCUUGCUGGCACCGAGGAAUGAGUAUGUGAUUCAUUUCUGGUCCAUGAGAUAUAAGGGGAAAUGGUUUGUAUCUUUGAAGAAAUCUGUCUAAUUCAUUUAAGUUGUCAGAUUUAUUGGCAUAAAGUUGUUCACAAUUAUUUCCUUAAUAUCAUUAAUGUGAGUUCCUUAAUAUCUUUUUAAUGUUUGUAGGGAUGUCCCCUCUUUCAUUCCUGACAUUGCUAAUUUCUGGUUUCUUUUUUCUUAAUCAAGACUUCAAGUUUUGCUUGAGGCUUAUCAAUUUUAUUAAUUUUUCAAAGAAUCAACUUUUGGCUUUGUUUAUUUGUUUCAUUAUUUGUUCUCUAUUUAUGGAGUUCUUCUCUUAAUAAAAUUAACAGACAGCAAAAUAUGGCACUUUUGGGGGGGCAGAUAUUUCUGAGUUUUAGAUUUGUGAAACGACCACCAAAAUCAUGACACAGAAUAGUUCCAUCAUUCUAUAAAACUCCAUCAAGUUGUACUCAUGCCUUCGCCACAUCCCAAUUCAUGGCAACCACAGAUUUGUCAUCUGUCACAAUAGUAUUGACUUGUCCAGAAUGUAAUAAAAAUGGAAUCAUAAAGUAU